rnacentral:rRNA from 1 species
CACGUAGGGUGCGAGCGUUGUCCGGAAUUAUUGGGCGUAAAGGGCUCGUAGGCGGUUUGUCGCGUCGGGAGUGAAAACACGGGGCUUAACCCCGUGCCUGCUUCCGAUACGGGCAGACUAGAGGUAUGCAGGGGAGAACGGAAUUCCUGGUGUAGCGGUGAAAUGCGCAGAUAUCAGGAGGAACACCGGUGGCGAAGGCGGUUCUCUGGGCAUUGCCUGACGCUGAGGAGCGAAAGUGUGGGGAGCGAACAGG